rnacentral:rRNA from 1 species
UACUAGCGGUCCAAGUCGCAGCCAAUUUUAUUGGGUCUAAAACAUCCGUAGCUUGCUUAAUAAGUUCCUUGUGAAAUCCUAUGUCUUCAGCAUGGGGCGUGCAAGGAGUACUGUUGAGCUAGAGACUGGGAGGCGUAGGAAGUACGAUAGAAGUAGCGGUUAAAUGCGUUAAUCUCUAUCAGACUAACAACAGCGAAGGCAUCCUACGAGAACAGUUCUGACAGUAAGGGAUGAAAGCCAGGGUCGCAAAACGGAUUAGAUACCCUCGUA